rnacentral:rRNA from 1 species
AGCGAACGCUGGCGGCAUGCCUAACACAUGCAAGUCGCACGGGGGGGCUUCGGCCUCCCAGUGGCGGACGGGUGAGGAACGCGUAGGGACCUGUCGAGGGGUGGGGGAUAACCGCGGGAAACUGCGGCUAAUACCGCAUGACGCCGCGGCGUGACAGCCUGAGCCAAAGGCGAAAGCCGCCCGCCGAGGGGCGUGCGUCCGAUUAGCUGGUUUGCGGGAUAGCGGCCCACCAAGGCGGCGAUCGGUAGCUGGUCUGAGAGGGUGAUCAGCCACACCGGGAGUGAGACACGGAGCGGACUCCUACGGGAGGCAGCAGUGGGGAAUAUUGGACACUGGGCGAAAGCCUGAGCCAGCAAUGCCGCGUGGGUGAAGAAGGUCUUCGGAUUGUAAAGCCCUUUAGGCGGGGACGAUGGUGACGGUACCAGCAGAAGAAGCACCGGCUAACUUCGU